rnacentral:rRNA from 1 species
AGCGAACGCUGGCGGCAGGCUUAACACAUGCAAGUCGAACGCCCCGCAAGGGGAGUGGCAGACGGGUGAGUAACGCGUGGGAAUCUACCCAGAUCUUCGGAACAACACAGGGAAACUUGUGCUAAUACCGGAUACGCCCUACGGGGGAAAGAUUUAUCGGAUUUGGAUGAGCCCGCGUUGGAUUAGCUAGUUGGUGAGGUAAUGGCUCACCAAGGCGACGAUCCAUAGCUGGUCUGAGAGGAUGAUCAGCCACACUGGGACUGAGACACGGCCCAGACUCCUACGGGAGGCAGCAGUGGGGAAUAUUGGACAAUGGGCGAAAGCCUGAUCCAGCCAUGCCGCGUGAGUGAUGAAGGCCUUAGGGUUGUAAAGCUCUUUUAGUGGGGAAGAUAAUGACGGUACCCACAGAAAAAGCCCCGGCUAACUUCGUGCCAGCCGCCGCAGUAA